rnacentral:lncRNA from 1 species
UGAAUUCUCCCCAGAGCUUUGCUUUAUCAAAGAUAGAAGAGAGAGCUAGAACUUGACCCUAGUUUCUCAGCUGUACAGACUCUUUUACAAUUUCAAAGUAGCACUCACAGUGGCUGUGACUCUCAGCUGCAGAAGCAGUGCCAGAUUUUCCAGGCAGAAGAGGUUGAUAAUGAAAUGGUUGAGGGGACUCUCUAUUUUGAUAUGACUGAAAGCACCAAGAAGAGAAACCGAAUUUUGCAUUUCAAAGCUGAGAGAGCAGUAGGACUCUUGCGUGGCAGACUCUUGUUGAAUUCUAGGACAGUGAUUCACAAGGACAAAGAGCCGUGACUGUUAAGGAUACUAGUUCAGUGUCUGCUCAUGUGAAAUAAAACAGUACUGAAUGAACUUGUUACUACCGUUCUUUUAAAAAACACUUUUAAACCCCUAGUGAAUGUAACUUACCAGGAUGGGCAUGUCACGGAAGGCUUCUGGUGCCCACUUGUCCGGUUGCCUUGUCCUUACGUGAAAUCUUGACCCACUUCUUCAGCUUGUCUUGGACAAUCAAGCACUCUUGGGGCCCG